GGUCUCUAAAACGUCUCCUUUCAAAUCAAAAUUACCUCAAAAGUUGAAGAGAUUUAUUUGGUAAAGGAAUUAACUACGGAAAAAACAACCCCUCUUUCUGUUGAUGCAUGGGUCUGCUCUUUUCCAAUCUUAUCUCCCAAAAUUAAACAAGUCCAAGAGUUUUCUAUAUCGAACAAUUGACAUAUCGAGGGAGAGUGAGAAAGAGAGAUCUUCU